rnacentral:rRNA from 1 species
GACGAACGCUGGCGGCGUGCUUAACACAUGCAAGUCGAACGGUAAGGCUCCAGCUUGCUGGGGUACACGAGUGGCGAACGGGUGAGUAACACGUGGGUGACCUGCCCUGCACUUCGGGAUAAGCCUGGGAAACUGGGUCUAAUACCGGAUAGGACCGCACCGUGAGGGUGUGGUGGAAAGUUUUUUCGGUGUGGGAUGGGCCCGCGGCCUAUCAGCUUGUUGGUGGGGUAAUGGCCUACCAAGGCGGCGACGGGUAGCCGGCCUGAGAGGGUGGACGGCCACAUUGGGACUGAGACACGGCCCAGACUCCUACGGGAGGCAGCAGUGGGGAAUAUUGCACAAUGGGCGGAAGCCUGAUGCAGCGACGCCGCGUGGGGGAUGACGGCCUUCGGGUUGUAAACUCCUUUCACCAUCGACGAAGGGUUUCUGACGGUAGAUGGAGAAGAAGCACCGGCUAACUACGUGCCAGCAGCCGCGGUAAUACGUAGGGUGCGAGCGUUGUCCGGAAUUACUGGGCGUAAAGAGCUCGUAGGUGGUUUGUCGCGUCGUCUGUGAAAUUCCGGGGCUUAACUCCGGGCGUGCAGGCGAUACGGGCAUAACUUGAGUACUGUAGGGGAGACUGGAAUUCCUGGUGUAGCGGUGGAAUGCGCAGAUAUCAGGAGGAACACCGGUGGCGAAGGCGGGUCUCUGGGCAGUAACUGACGCUGAGGAGCGAAAGCAUGGGGAGCGAACAGGAUUAGAUACCCUGGUAGUCCAUGCCGUAAACGGUGGGCGCUAGGUGUGGGUUUCCUUCCACGGGAUCCGUGCCGUAGCUAACGCAUUAAGCGCCCCGCCUGGGGAGUACGGCCGCAAGGCUAAAACUCAAAGGAAUUGACGGGGGCCCGCACAAGCGGCGGAGCAUGUGGAUUAAUUCGAUGCAACGCGAAGAACCUUACCUGGGCUUGACAUAUACAGGAUCGCGCCAGAGAUGGUGUUUCCCUUGUGGCUUGUAUACAGGUGGUGCAUGGUUGUCGUCAGCUCGUGUCGUGAGAUGUUGGGUUAAGUCCCGCAACGAGCGCAACCCUUGUCUUAUGUUGCCAGCACGUUGUGGUGGGGACUCGUAAGAAACUGCCGGGGUUAACUCGGAGGAAGGUGGGGAUGACGUCAAAUCAUCAUGCCCCUUAUGUCCAGGGCUUCACACAUGCUACAAUGGUCGGUACAGUGGGUUGCCAGUCCGUGAGGGCGAGCUAAUCCCGCAAAGCCGGUCUCAGUUCGGAUCGGGGUCUGCAACUCGGCCCCGUGAAGUCGGAGUCGCUAGUAAUCGCAGAUCAGCAACGCUGCGGUGAAUACGUUCCCGGGCCU